rnacentral:rRNA from 1 species
GUCGAGAAUCUUCGGCAAUGGGCGCAAGCCUGACCGAGCGACGCCGCGUGGAGGAUGAAGGCCUUCGGGUUGUAAACUCCUGUCGAGGGGGAAGAAGGGCGGGCAACCGCUUUGACUGAUCCCUGGAGGAAGCACGGGCUAAGUUCGUGCCAGCAGCCGCGGUAAGACGAACCGUGCGAACGUUAUUCGGAAUCACUGGGCUUAAAGCGCGUGUAGGCGGGACGGCACGUCGGUCGCUGAAAUCCCCCGGCUCAACCGGGGAACGGGCGCCGAUACGACCGCCCUGGAGGGACGUAGGGGGACCUGGAACUUCCGGUGGAGCGGUGAAAUGCGUUGAGAUCGGAAGGAACGCCCGUGGCGAAAGCGAGGUCCUGGACGUUUUCUGACGCUGAGACGCGAAAGCCAGGGGAGCGAACGGGAUUAGAAACCCUGGUAGUCC